rnacentral:rRNA from 2 species
CUCCUGGGAAGUUCUCGUGUUGCACCCC